rnacentral:rRNA from 1 species
UACAGAGGUCUCAAGCGUUGUUCGGAUUCAUUGGGCGUAAAGGGUGUGUAGGUGGAGCCGUAAGUCGGGUGUGAAAUUUCGGAGCUUAACUCCGAAACUGCAUUCGAUACUGCGGUGCUUGAGGACUGGAGAGGAGACUGGAAUUCAUGGUGUAGCAGUGAAAUGCGUAGAUAUCGUAAGGAAGACCAGUGGCGAAGGCGGGUCUCUGGACAGUUCCUGACGCUGAGGCACGAAGGCCAGGGGAGCAAACGGG